rnacentral:rRNA from 1 species
GUGUCAGCAGCCGCGGUAAUACCGGCGGCCCGAGUGGCGGCCACUUUUAUUGGGCCUAAAGCGUCCGUAGCCGGGCUGGUAAGUCCUCCGGGAAAUCUGGCGGCUCAACCGUCAGACUGCCGGAGGAUACUGCCAGCCUAGGGACCGGGAGAGGCCGGGGGUAUUCCCGGGGUAGGGGUGAAAUCCUGUAAUCCCGGGAGGACCACCUGUGGCGAAGGCGCCCGGCUGGAACGGGUCCGACGGUGAGGGACGAAGGCCAGGGGAGCGAACCGGAUUAGAGACCCGGGUAGUCCUGGCUGUAAACGAUGCGGACUAGGUGUCACCGAAGCUACGAGCUUCGGUGGUGCCGGAGGGAAGCCGUUAAGUCCGCCGCCUGGGGAGUACGGCCGCAAGGCUGAAACUCAAAUGAAUUGGCGGGG